rnacentral:lncRNA from 1 species
GCCCAUGGCCACACGCGACCCCUACGUACACGUACGGGUCCGACAUGCGGCCCCCCGCACUGUAGCGGACGCAUACACGACGCUCACACUCCCCUCACGCGGACACGCGCACACACGCUCAGUAACACCGUUGGCACUCAUACCAGGCCACGCACCCUCGCGCACACGCAGGUGGGGCUGAGGGUGACUCAGGCCGUGGGGCCCCUUUCGCGUGCAGAGGGCUCUCCCCAUUAGUUUGGUGGCACUUUCCUUUCUCCCUCCCGGGGACCUUCCCACACCCCCGAGUGGUGUCUUGCUCACGGGUGGACGGGGUGGCCAGUUUGCCACGUGCCCCCAGCGUCCUCGGCGGUCCUGGCUGCCCCUGCACACCAGGCCGCUGGGGCCUGCGCGUUGCUCCCGAGGUCUCGGCCUUUUGCCCCAAAGGCAUCAGUGAUGACAUCAGUGAUUCACCUAGGCCCACCAAGACAGCAGCCAGCCUGGCUGGGCCUGGCGAGAUGGGGAGCGAAAGGAGGGCUUCUGGGCGACUAUGGGCCAACUGAGGGGUGAGGCUUUCGCUGGAGUUUGCAAGUCAGUGGUGAGGAGACAGAGGACUUUGCAUUUUCACUUCUGGAGAAGGCUUAUAAAGAGCCCUACCCCAGAGCUGAGACCAGUGUGAGUAGCCAAGGCUAGUCUGCCUUCUUGUACUGCUCCAGUGACUCAUGUGAGUGGAGGCAGGAAGUCCAGCAUCUCCCCCUGAAGCUUCACCCAUGGAAUGUUCCAGAACCUCAGAUACUCCGACCUGGCUGCUGGAGCCAUGUCUCUGGCUCCAUUAGCCCAACAGGUGCUUGUUCUACAGUCACACUCACCAGGCCACAGUGGCACCUCUGUCUGUGCCACAGGCACAGCUCUUUUAGAGGUGACAGGCCAGCCUUGGCUGUCCCUCACAGGGACUGCUGGAGUCCAGCGAUCUCCCCCGCCCCCAUGGUGGACUCCCCUUGGGAGCCUCAGGUGCCCUUUCUUGCCUGUGGGGAGUUGGGAUGUUACUGACCUCAGGCUCAGGGUCCCAACCACUUCCCAUAACCCAGGCACUGAGGCCUCCCAUGUCCCCAGCCCUGCUCAGCCCACAGUCCUGGCACCCUGUCGACUGGGGCCCACUCCCAACACCUGCCUUAUGCUGUGUGUUACCUAGGAUCUGGUUUAAUUUUGCCAAAAUCAGGACAGACUCCGUUCCCUAGGCUGGACUAUUUUUGGUUGUUUUAAAAGAAGCAGGACAUGGACCAGGCACCGUGGCUUACGCCUAUAAUCGCAGCACUUUGGG